rnacentral:lncRNA from 1 species
UUUUUUCGAAUUGCUCGGGAUUUAUCAUAACAUACAUUGAAUUAAAACGAAAGUGAAUGUCCGGUAAAAAUAUUGAAUAGAAGCAUGUUUUCAGCUUCUUUUGAAUAGCUGAGGGAAAGUUAUGAUGAUAACAAGACUCAGCCAGUGAUUUUAGGAAGCGUCCAUCUAACGCACGGGCGUGUUUGCGUAACUUAACGAGAACAUUGCUAAUAAACACGGGGUUUCGUCAAAAACAAACUCAGUUGGAAAAAGUGAAAGGCCAAAUCAUGAUAUGUAGUUGGAAAGCAUCGGAAACCAAAAGUUCUAAUAAGGGAUCACUUAACCCAGAUUUAUGUAAAUUGAAUAAAACAAAAACAUUCAAGUAUAGUUAGAGUUUAUAUACUAUUUUUU